UUGCUCCAGAAAAAGAAUUUUGGCUGGGACUUUAGAUGGGUAAUUUUGUUCUGCAAAAAAGACCCUAUCCAUUUUCUCCUUGGCUGCUUAAUUCUCAUUUCUCUAUUAGAGUCUGAAUUUAGAGAGUCAUCUCUGACUAGGUCCUACUCUGCCAAAACAACAGAAAGUGCCAAGCUGCCGGAGCCAUGGUGGCCAAUUUGACAUGGAAGCAUUAUAAAAACAGGACUGAGAGAUCAGCUUUGAAUUCCCUAAACUUUUUUUUGAAAUACUUACAAAGGUUUUACACACAGGCACCAUGCCGGCUUUUCUCUGCAAACGCAGCCCUUGCCCAGCCAGCCAAGCCUCCUGCUGAAAGCCGGCAGACAAUGGUGGGAAAGGCAUUAUGGGGCGGAUUGCGCUGUAAAGACAGCCACGGGAUUAUGAGUCCCUCUUUCCCUGAAGGCAGCAGCAGAAUCACCAAGAGGCGCCUGUCCCCCUCAAAUGAGAUACAGCAGUUCAUCAUGUCAGACUCCGCCACGGAGGGUUAAGGCUAUGGGGCUUCUGGCUGUCAGCAGCAAGGAUUUCAUCUUGGGGCCCCUCAGGUCAUAUGGAGGAAGCCUAAGAAGUUCAUCCUGCCAUUUCCAUUGUCUGGCAUCUUGUCCCCAGUUACCACCCCAGUGUGCUCUUGACCAGCCUUGUAACCAAAAUCAUGUCUAUGUUCAAGAAAUUAGCAUCCCAGACUUCCCUUCUCUUCUGUAGGAGAACACCCCAGUUGGUAUUCAAAUAAACUAACUAACAGAAAUAGAAAAGGAUUGGCAUAUUUUAACAAGGAAAUCUUAAUACAUGUCUACAAACUUAGAGAACUGUCUUUUAAUAUUUAGAUUCAUUCUGUGAAGAGAAUUUGAAGUUAUUUCUACGGAGUAUAAAUUUACUGUAGGGGCAGAAUUCUGAAGGAAAAACAGAAGCAGUCCUUUAGUGGAGUUACAAUGUUGCGAUUCUGUUCACAGCUCCUGUAGACUCUAUUGGACUCAGUUCAGAUUUUGCACACAGCAAUUGUUUCAUUGUAGAAAUCUUUUGUGUCUUUUUUUUUUUUUUUGGAAUUGCUACAUUGUCUAUAAAUAUUUAGCGCUAAGCCCUGAUUGGGUUGUAUUUACCCCUGUAGUUCUGUAUUACAGAUGCAUCUGCUGAAAUGAAAAGUGGCCACAUUUUCACUAGUGCUUAAUUAAAUGCCAAAAUUUAUCUACAUUAACAACAAAGUCGUGAAAUUUAUUGAUCAAUUCACAUGAUAUAAGUUGACAAAUGGCUUAAGCAAUUUCCAUAAUUUUCUACACGUGUUAAAAUUUGUAAUGAAAAAGAACACUAUAUUCACAUUAAAUGAGAGCUGAGAGGGAGACUCUGUCCCAGGGCCAGUGCCCUGGAGCAGUGGAUGUUGUCUGCCCGCCCUGUCCAGGCUUGCUGUUUGAGCUGUGUACAGAUGGGGCUCUGACAGACCUACAGCUGUUCUCCUAAUUGUCCAUUAAGCGUUCUAUUGAUUCUCUGAUUCAAAGUACAUGUCUUUCAGCUCAAGCUAUCCUGUGAAGUGGCAGACACAUUCCUUGUAGAAUGACAGAGCCGCUCGAAAGCUAAAAAUGUGCUCUGCCAGUUUCAAUUGAGGGUGCUGCUGUGAAAGAGAAGGCUUGGUUAAAGGCGCUCUGUGAUCGAGGGGUAGGCUGUAUUUUCUAAACUUUUAGCAUCAAUCAAUUAAAGUAGCAGCAGCCUGGAGAGUUUUAAUUCCUGGUUAAGGGUGUACAGAUUACACCUGGCCGAUACAGGUUAGGGCAAAGGGAUCAGUCUCAGCAACAGAUCAGAUGGCUGGGCUGAUGUCUGCAGAUGCUUUCCCGCCUGCACCUGACAGGCACAGUCAUUUUCAUUUCUCCUGAAAGUUCGAUUUUAGCACGUAAAAAUUGAGAUCAUCUGCAAUCCCACAUUAUGCCAAUCAGAAGCAUGUUCAGAAUUGACUCUCUUUAAUCCGGAAAGAAAGAGUUAUAUAAGAUGCAUAUCUAUUGCAAGGCCCAUAAAUCUUCAGAGGAACGAGGGGUCCUAGAUAAAAGCUUGAAGGUUCUUCUGGCCCGGAAGGGGUCCUUUGACAUAUCACUUCCGGUCCCUAGUGAUGCAAUCAGCUUAGCACUUGAUCUCAUUUUGCCCAGCUGUGUCUCAAGCCAUGCGCUGCUCUCUUUAGAGUGCAUCAGUUGUGUAGUCCACUGCAAAUCAGGGUUUUAGGACUGAAACAAAUCAACUCUCUCUCGAAGUGGUUUAGGUUGCUCUGAAUAGCAUUUGCUUUCUUAUCUUAAUGGCAGUACACAGCCUAAUGUUUUUCUAUCAUCUGGGUUUAGUUCUUAAUUGCCAUGUAGCAGGACAUUUUGUUGGAAACAGUCUUGCUGCCUAGUGAUGUUUCAUCUGUAAAUGAGAUGAACAAUGUUUGUUGCCGCUUGUGUCUCAUUAAUUUAAUUAGCCCCCCCCCCCCAAGGCCUCCAUUUCUGUUGCGGUUCUCUGGUGUGAUUUUUAACUAUUGAAUACGUUUUGACAUUUAUCUAAAAUUUCAAAGGGGAAAAAGAUUAUCAAACACAUCUUCGUGUGUUUUAAGUACUAAGGAUAUCUAAAUGAGUAAACGAGGAACAGAGUCAAGAGGAAGGGAAAUCACUUUAAAGGAAGAAUUACCCAAAAGCUGUUUCUCCCAAUUUCUUCGAUAUAUGCCACGUUCUCAUCUGUUCAUCUUCUCCCGAGAGCUUCUCUCUUGAGCAGUGUCCACCUUUCUCCUCCAGUUGGUUUGGUUGGGUAGAGGAGCACUGUCCUUAUGCACAGUGCUGUCUGAAGUGUGGCUCCUGUGACCCAGGUCCUCUCUGUCCUGAAUCCUUGUACUGCAACAUCAGAACCGUGAGCUGUCUAACCAAGCAGGGGUUUAGAAUGUCGGGGAGUUCAGUGUUUUCACCGUUAACAUCUUCAGGGUUUAGGAGUAGAAGUUUCUCAGUCUAUUUGCCUUCAAAACAUUUGUUUUAAAAUUCAAAAGUAGGUGGACAAAUGAGCUAUCCUGACACGUACUACAGAAUCUAAUCCCGGUGCAGGGAUUUAUGGACUUGGGGAAUGUGGACACUUGCAACCUAGAGCCCCUGUUCCCUCACCGCAGGGUGAUAAAUUCUCUCUAUCUGCUUUUCCCUCGGAAAACAAGAGAAAAAUCCAUUUUGAGCAUGGUAAUAUAGUAUAUAUUGAUACCUGCAAAACAUUAUGUGAAUCUACUUAGACUCCAGCACUUUCAAUUACACUGUUAGCCAGUUUUUAAAGAAGAUUUUUAGAAGCUUUCAACUGUAGACUUUUGUCUUGUUGAAUGAACUUCAGCUACACUAAAUUUUAAGUAAAUUUGUGAUGACUGAGCAAUAUACAUUGGCUGAGCUAGAAUCCAAUAACCCACAGGACAAAUUAAUUUUCAACAAAAAGGGCAGAAACCUCAAGUGCCACGAGUAUAUGGAGCCUCAUUCUUUCUCUCUGGAGCCAUUUUUUGCAAAUCACUACAGCUAUUCAUAAUCUAAAUCAGUCUCCUUUAGCAGCAGAAAGAUCUUUUCUCAUGACAAAACAGAGGCUGACAUUCAUUACUGCUAACUUGCGUAAGCUACCUUAAAUUUAUUGGUGCUUCUCCACUUACCUGGGUAAGAAUUCCUUUGUCUCCUGCUAUAGGGAAAUUUCAGCUCCACUACUUAAAAAUAUCAAUUGUCACUUUUAUCAGAACUUUUGGCAGUUUACUUUAUUUUAGAAGUAAAACUGGUGGUUAAGGUUUUUAGGACUUCCAAUGGGCGUUGUUUGAAUCAUAUUUAAUGGGUGUCUAGGAUAGUAAUAUGAUUAUGUUUAAGUUCUGUGCUGUACAAAAAAAAAAUCCAUAUUUCUAUCCAUGUACUGCUGGGGAGGUUCUGGGGAAACGAGCCUUUUCGUGGUGGAUGUGGCAUUACCUGCCAGCCGUGGGCAGAGGAGAAACCACCCAGGUCUGUGCACUGGUUGUAUUCAAAGGUUGAUUAAAGCGGGGAGGAGGUUAUCAGAUGGAACUUUGAAAUGCUCCAUUUACUGCCAAAGCCUUUCUGUCCAUCAGUGGGACAGAGUCUCGUAUAUGCUCAUAGGCUCCUGAUAGAGUCUUUCUUUUGUGGAUCAGCAUUCUUUCCAGGUUUUAAAACACUGGCCUAGAAGGCGGUAUGAGGCAUCAUGUUAUUACAUCAUUAGGAAUAUGCCAUUGCUUUUUAGGUACCCCUCACCCCACCCAUCUAUUCUGACUAAAAAGGAACAAGGAGAAACUGAAUAUACACACACCAGUGAUAAAUUGGUUGGUUUGUGUCUAACAGGCAGAUCUGUGGGACAAUAAGAACUAAUCCCACAAAUGUUAUUUGUGGUAAAAUGUGAUGUGUGGGAGAGUGUGAUGUGACUGUAACCUGAGCUCCACUUGACACAGAGUUGAUAUGAGGCCCAGAUGAGCCCCAGGUAGACAAUAAGAUCUUGCCAGGCAGCGGUGGCAUACACCUUUAAUCCCAGCACUCAGGAGGCAGAUGCGGGUAGAUCUCUGAGAGUUUGAGACCACGAUCUCUACUGUAGCUCUGUUUAACAAAAGAUUGCCAGCUCUGGUCAGAAUGUUCUAAGUUAGUGACUGAGAUAUUUUGGAAUGAAGGUUAAAGCAAACACCUACAUUCUAUCAAACACUGCGAUAAUAAAUUCUCAUCCCCUGAGGUAACUCCAUGUGACUAGAGCUGAGUUUGCCCACUAGAUUUCAUAGGCAGAUCUCAGGUCUCAGAUCUCAGAUCUGCUACCUGCAGAAGGGCUGUUCUGAGCAAGGCCUCGAAGUAAAAUCACCAACACCUGGAAGCUUUGAGAUUUGCUUUCCUUUUGAGACAAAAGUCUCUCUAUGUAGCCUUGGCCGGCCCGGAACUCACUUUGCAGACCAGGCUGGUCUUGAAUUCAUAGAGAUUCAUCUGCUUCUUGAAUGUUGGGACUGAAGGAUGCGCCGUCAUACCCAGCUCACCUGAGAGUUUUUAACAUCUAGAAUAAGCUGGUUGACCAUGUUACUAACUAGGUAAUGUUCCCUCCAAGGAUAGAGUUGAUUUCAACAAUUCUCAGUUUCUUUCCCUGGAGUUAGUCACAGCUCCAUCUGGGUAGUGGGUUCCCAUUUUUGCUGAUGUUUUGUUUAACUUUGGUAUUCUUCUGAUGCUGCCCCCUCCCAUUUAUAAAGAACAGCUCUGUACUCCCCCAAAUCUAAGUAUGUCUUUAAAAUCAGAGUUGUUGAGGAUGCUGUUUCCCUAUGUGGGCACAGUGAACCAUACCACCCUUCAACACUAAGGGAGGAAACAGUAUCUUUUUCUUGGGUGUGAGAUGGCUUCAUUACAGGCCAGGCUGGUCUGGAGCUUGCUGUAUAGCCUGUGACUGACAUACAGACAGGAACUCAGAAUCCUCUUUCCUCCGCUUCCUAAUGCUGGCUGCCAUUAAAGUGCAUGCCAUCAGACCCAGCUGUAAACUACUGAAUAGGUAAGAGGGCUUAAUACCUUAGUAAUAGAACACAGAUUUUUUUUUUUCCUGCCAGGAGAUAAAUGGCCACAUUGAACCUGCGUAUUAGAUAUUUGUUCAGGACUAAACACAGCACAUGUCCACAAGACAGAGCUGCACUCCAGCUCUGGCUGGCUCUCGGUGAGGAAUGCACUUGCAUCCUGGAGUCAAUCCUAAUACAGUCCACCAGACACCGUACUCAGGCACCGUAAGCGUCCUUAAGUCCUAGAAGAACGGAAUUUGAAAGUGUGUCUUGUAGCCAGCUAUACAGCAGACUGUGGGGAGAACAGGGAUGGAUAGAGUUCUGGUAUAAUAGGUUAGAAACAUCCCAGGGUCUCUCUUGACAUCUGGCUGACUUCCUGUAAAAGGUUUCUUCUGUUUUUUUCUUAUCUUCCCAGGCAGGAUGUACUUCUGAACUGCACGACCCUGCCAGGCAUACCCUUGCUGUACUGUGUGGUCUGUGCUGAUACCCAUCUUCCUGGACCUCUCUCUCUCGAAAGUGGUCUGUAUUGGCCGUGGAGGCUUGCUGGGAAUCCUAAGUGAGACUUUGCUCUUCGCGUCAACCUCCCGGAGUCUCUGUGUGUAGACUAAGCGCAGUGACCGUUUCUUAGUUUUUUUUUUUGUUUGUUUGUUUUUUUUGUUUUUCACUUGGUCCACCGGAGCUGCGCUGCUUCAUCCCUGCUCUGUCUACACUCCCCGGCUUGAGCUACCCUGAUUCUUGCCUUUCCUCCACAGGCACACUUUCUCUUCUACUCUGUAAACAUGAGAUGCUCUGGAUUUCUUGUUUAGGUUUUUGUGUUAUCCUCCGUGAUGAUUUCAUCCAGGCCUGCAGCUGUGAAGAUCUUCUUUCCAGUAGCCACUCCCAAGGUAAGAACGCCAGCUUGGAUGCUCCCCAAUAACGUCGGCUAGCGGCAGCAGCUCCCCAGUUGCAUAGUGGACAACAUCUGGAACCGAAGAAUAGUGAGGACCUCUGAUGAUGGAUAACAAGAGAGCCAUGUAGAAAGUCAUGGAAGUGCCAAGUAGGAAGGAAUAAUUAACUCUGGAAGAUGGUGUGGGUUGUGGAUGAGUUCUUGUUCUUAAAGGUAAAAUUAAAAAAAAAA